rnacentral:rRNA from 1 species
GACGGAGGGUGCUAGCGUUGUUCGGAAUCACUGGGCGUAAAGGGCGCGUAGGCGGCCUUGCAAGUCGGUUGGUGAAAGCCCGGGGCUCAACCCCGGAGGUGCGGCCGAGACUGCAGGGCUGGAGGCCGGAAGAGGAGGGUGGAAUACCCAGUGUAGAGGUGAAAUUCGUAGAUAUUGGGUGGAACACCGGUGGCGAAAGCGGCUCUCUGGUCCGGACCUGACGCUGAGGCGCGAAAGCGUGGGGAGCAAACGG